GACGACGCUGGCUGCGUGCCUAAUACAUGCAAGUCGAGCGAGCGGCGGACGGGUGAGUAAUGUAUGUGGAUCUGCCCGAUAGAGGGGGCUAACUACUGGCAACGGUGGCUACUACCGCAUACUAUCGUAUUAACCCAUAUGGGAUUAGCUAUUAGGUGUGGUAAAGGCUCACCUAGGCGACGAUCUCUAGCUGGUCUGAGAGGAUGAUAAGCCACACUGGGACUGAGACACGGCCCAGACGACUACGGGAGGCAGAAGUGGGGAAUAUUGCACAAUGGGCGCAAGCCUGAUGCAGACAUGCCGCGUGUAUGAAGAAGGCCUUAGGGUUGUAAAGUACUUUCAGCGGGGAGGCGUUACACGCAGAAGAAGCACCGGCUAACUCCGUGCCAGCAGCCGCGGUAAUUC
rnacentral:rRNA from 1 species